GAAUCACAAGCACAAUUUAUUGCAACGUUCAGCUGAUGAACAAUAAAGAAACAUAAGGAUCAAAUCAUUCAGUUAUUAUGUCAACAGUUAUCAGACUUUCAGUUAUCUAUAAUAUUUCUUAAAAUCUUAAUAAAAUAAUAAUUAGUGAUAAAAUAACCUUCUAAUUUUUACAAAAUGAGCUUGGUAUUAGGUAAGUUUAUCGUAGUGUAUAUCAUUGGAACUUAAAAUCUUAAUAAACUAAUAAUUAAUCAUAAAAUAACCUUCUAAUUUUUACAAAAGGAGCUAGUUAUUAGAGUUCAAUGCCUGCUUGCAUUGCAUUCAAUUGUACUUCAAGAACACCGGCUUUUUCUAGAUCCCUAGAGCACGAUCUUGCUAUUAAAUUGUGGAAGAAAUGUGAACUUAACCACAAUUAUGUGAAAAUAAGCUUUUUUCCAUAAGUAUUUUCAUAACUUUAUAAAACAAUCAUAUGUUUUGGUAUCCUUGUUAGUCGUUACUUAUUUUAAUACUCCAUAUCUAUUAUAACCAUCUAUUUUCAGAUGUCCUAAAAAUCCAGUGCUUCUACAGCCGUCGCCAAGAUUGGAAACAAACCAAAUGGCCAAGGAUUUGUUUUAAGCACUUAAAGGACUCUGAUAUCAUUAAGCACAAAGUUAAUUGCACUCUUGUUAGUUGUUGAUGGAGCAGUGCCCCCGAUUUUCAACUUUCCAAUGCACUUAAAAAAAAGUAGAGUCCCAUCGACGAAUUUUAAAGCGAAGAACUUAUGAAGAAGACAGUUCGAAAAAAAUGAAUUCUGGUGACAUGAUUGAAAAACGGCCAACUGUAAAUAUAGUACUCAUACAUAUACCCUACUUAGUACUUGUAAUGUUCUACGACCACCAACAACAGACGGAAGUAACGGACCGGAGUAAAGCCAAUAAGAACACCUUUGGAUUGGGGGUACAAUCAUACACUAAAACAUAUAUUCUAUAAGGGGUUACACUUAAAAGGAUGUACAUACAUAUAACUAUUAAAAUAUAUCAACUCGUAAAACACAAGGUACAUUACUAUCCAUUUAAAAGAAAUCCCUACGUCAUUAUCUAAAAGUAAAUAAAAGACAAUACAUAACAGUACUAUGGAAUCCUUGGGAUGGUGAAAAAAUAGAACAAACAGAGACAUCAAAUAAAAAUCAAGAUAGCAGUUAUAUUCGAUAGUUGCCAUAUCUUAUUCAGUUUAAGAAUCAAUAAUUUGAAAAAAAUAAAUAAUAGGUUGGAAGACUUAAUUUUAUUAUUAUUUAAUAUUUUGUAGAAUAAAUGAGACUUCAUUGAUUA
rnacentral:lncRNA from 1 species